rnacentral:rRNA from 1 species
AAUGAACGCUGGCGGCGUGCCUAACACAUGCAAGUCGCACGAGAAAGGGGACUUCGGUUCCCGAGUAAAGUGGCGCACGGGUGAGUAACGCGUGGGUAACCUGCCCUUGAAUCCGGGAUAACACUGCGAAAGUGGUGCUAAUACCGGAUACGAUCCUUAAGCGGGAGCAUAAGGAUGAAAGCCGGCCUCUCGAAGAAGCUGGUGUUCGAGGAUGGGCUCGCGUCCUAUCAGCUAGUUGGUGAGGUAAUGGCUCACCAAGGCGACGACGGGUAGCUGGUCUGAGAGGAUGAUCAGCCACACUGGCACUGAAACACGGGCCAGACUCCUACGGGAGGCAG